GCUUAAUGCAUCAUCCACAGAAUCCUGGCAUCUCUGUUGCAGAAGCACCUGAAUGUUCAUCUAAGGCAAUGUUUUGAGUAAUGCUCCGGGGAGCCACAGGGCUUCCUCAGACACCCCACCAGAGUGAAGGCCCUUUCCUCCCUCUUCCCACCACACACAGCCUGCUGUGAUUUGGAGCAGACAGACAUUUCCUUGUUCCUGGGGACUGAGCAGUUUGAAGUUUCCAAAGAUGAAAACAUCUACUCUGAAGAGACCUGAAUGGACAAGAGAUGUUUUCCUCUUCCUUACCAUAAUAAAAGAGGACUGCUCCUGACCACAGGAUAUGCCUGGUCCAGGAAAUGGCCACAUUUCCCCCCUCAGGACCUCUACUUGGAUGGGCUGCCUUGGAAAUAAGGAAGCUCAAACUGAGGCAGAAUCACAGCGAUUUGGAAAAUGGUCCAAUCAGCUAUAGUGGAAGAGCAGAAUCAUUGAAUAUAAAACAUGGAGAUGUCAGCAGCAGGGGCUGUGAGCUGAACAGCUUCACUGGGAAGAGGAUAUGGGUGAGAAGGUACAGCAAUGGGUACCUCCAUUAACAGGUAAGCUGGAUCCUCCAUAGGAAUAGGCACUAGCUGGUUUUGGAUGAAGGUGUCGUAAGAUCAGAUACACUUUUGGGUGAUCAGCAUGAUCUGGGUAUGGACAUGGCAGAGCAGGUGGAAGGGAAGGGACCAAUAUGUGUCAAUAACCAUCUAUGAGCCAGGCACUUACCGGGAAGUAUAAUGUCUUUGUAGUUAGACAGACCAGUAGUGUCUGUUGCUCUGGAGGAAGUUACUUAAACUCACCAAGACUCAGUUUUCUCUGUAUUAAAAUGAUGACACCUACCUCACUAUCUGGCCAUUGGGAUUAAAUAUGAGAAUAUGUGUGAAAAUUUAUGUCAUAUGGUAAGCACUCAGAUGUUUCCUGGUGGAACAGCAUGGUGUGGAUUAGGAACAUCCAAACUCUGACAUCAAGCUGAACUUUUGAAAUAGAGGCCUCCCUGCUCACUAGUUGGGCAACCUUGAACAAGCUAGUUAAACUGUCUAGAGCUCAGUUUUGUUAUCUGGUGAGAUUAAUAGCAUUGAAUGGUGUAAAGCACAUUCUCAGUAAAUGCUCAUUAUUAUGAUUAUAGUUAUUAAUGUUUAUUUAACUUUGAAAUAAUAAUGUGUAGGAGCUCCUCAGGUAGAUAAUGGAAAUAAGAAAUUUCUUAGGUCAUGGAAGCAUGGAGGUAUGGAAAAUUUUGGAGAACAAAGAGGAGUCUGGUGAAGUAGGGUGGGGAUACUGGGCAGAUGCAAAGAUUGCCAAGGGUUAUAUCAUAAAGGCCGGGAUACCAGCCUGGCAUCAACUGCCUUAGAUUGGGAAGAUGCAAAACUGUGGUCUGGAGUCAGCCCUGCAGAAGCCUGUUUCCUGACUUUCCAUCUUCAAUCUCUUUUCUAUGCAGUUACCAGAGUCAUGUUUUGAAAUCUCAAAUCUGAGCAUCUAUCCUCAAAUAGAGGCCUACAUGGCUUCCAGUUCCUCCAGGAGAAGGUCCAAAUCCCUUAAGAUGACUUUAAGGCCCUCAAGUGUUCCAGGCUCUGUACGUUCUUGUGCCACAACUAUGCCACAACAAAACAGUUUUUCCCCCAUUUCUACUUUGUUUUUCCAGCUGUAGAGUCAAAGCCUCAAGAAGGGGAAAGGGACGAAUGGACACCAGGUCAUGUGCCAGAUAGUUUGAUUCUGAGAGUAAGCUGCAAUGCGAUGUGCUACUGACAUGAGACCGUUCCCAAUGGGAAGAACAGCAAUCUCACUCCGUGAUCUGGAAGCAUACAGAAAAGCCUGUCUUCUUCAAAGGCAUUUGGAGGUAAGCACCUCAAUCCUGCUCCGACUGAGCUUCUUGGAGUGUCCCAAGGAAUCGCCAACUCUCAGUCUCUUCUGUCAUUCCCUUAAAUUAUUUCUCCUCUCUUCUCUGUUGCUGGGAACACAAAUAGGACUGAAGGAUCCUGGGGAUUUGCUCCCUGCAGUUGGCAAAGCAGUGAUAUGAUAUGGAGUCUUAGUAUUUAGAAGUAACACACAUAGGGCACCUCCUCAAUAUAGCCCCACAGACAUUGCCUGCUAAUUUCCUUUGCUGCAUCAUUAUCAGCACACAAAAGCAUUUACUAGGAUCUCUUUGAAAACGCUUCAUUGUGACACUGGGCACAAUGAAGGGAACAGAUGUGAUGGGCCAACCUCCAGGGGUUUGCAAUCCAAGGCAGAAGGACAGACAGUGCAAACACACAUGAGCGCUCAGGCAUAACCUGCAAGCCAGGACACAGGUAUGACAGUCGGGUUUGACACAGUGUGGGAACCACAGAGCAGCGGUCUUGCUUUUACAUAAGGAUGCUUCUUCUUACCACAGGGUUCCCCUAGGGCUCCUUUAACAACAAGCCCUCUUCUUGCAUUUUUAAUGGGAUCUGAUUUAAAAUUAUGCUUUGAAAAUAACUUAUGCGGGAACAUAUUGACUGCAUACAGCUCAUGAUGUUGGUAUAGGGAGAGGUGGCCAAUACUGAAUAUGCCAGGCAAGAAAUGUAAACUUCUGUUUACAUAAUACACAACCCAAGGGGCUCCUUCCAUUGUGUAGAAGCAUCAAAAAACCUGGUUCAUUCUGUGCCUAGCAGAACACCUGGUCUGUGUUUGUUGGUCAAAUAGUAUUUAUUAAAUGAAAUAAUUAAAUAAUUACAAACAAAAUGUCUACUCCAUUCAUAGGUAAGACGAAUAAAACACAUUUCUGUUUUCUACUUUUUCUUUCUUCUCCACCUUCCUCUUUUCCCUUGUUACUCCUUCUUUUUUUCCUUGCUUUUCUUCUCCUCUCCUUCUUCCUCCUCCUUUGAUUCCUCUUCCUUGUCUUAACAUUUCUCAUUUUAAAGUGUGAACUUAUUUUGGUAUAUGGUAUAAAUUGAGCCUUUGCACAUUUUCCCCAGGGUGUUAAUAACUUCCCUAAUGCCACUUAUUAAAUAAGUGGUCCUUCCUCGGACCACUGAUUUAAGUCUUUUCCUGACAGGGGCUCUAGUUUAUCAAUCUUUAUGUCUCCAGUGCCUGCUGCAAAACCUAGAGAUACUUGUGGGUAUAUGAUGCUAUAUGAUGUACUUAGGUUCUUUUUGGGUGUAUGGUGUAUUUGUGUUAUGAAGUAUGGUGUAUGGCAUAUUUGUGUUGCCACACUUAGCACUUGUCAUGGGAAGAAUUAUGCUUCCCCCAAACCAACUUCAUAUGUUGAAAGUUUUAAACCCUAGUACCUCAGAAUGUGACUGUAUUUGGAGAUAUUUUUAAACAGGUGACUAUGUUAAAGUCAUGUAAUUAGGGAGGGCCCUAAGCCAAUACAACUGAUCUCAUAAGAAGAAAAAAUUUACACACAGCCAUGCACAGAAGGAAGACUACAUGAAGAUACCGGGAGAAGACAGCCAUCUAUGAGCCGAUAGAGGGGCCUCAGAAGAAGCCAGCUCUGCUACACCUUGAUCUUGAACUUCCAGCCUCCAGAACUGUGAGAAAAUAAAUUUCUGCUGCUUGAGCCAUGCAGUUUGUGGUACUCUGGUAGGCAGCCCUAAUAAACUAACACAGCAACUAUAAAAGUAACUUAUUUUUAUAUUAGGGCCUAUCUGUCUGUGAGCUAUCAACUUCAUUACUUUGAAAUAUCUGACUAUGCUUUCAAUAAGAUUAUUAUAUCAUUUCAAAUAUGUAACAUAUUCUUAGAAAAAAAUGAAGGAAAUAUAGAAAAAUGUGAAUUAUGCUUAUCUCUGACUGUGAGAUUUUGGGUUAUUGUACUUUUUUCUAUGUCUCUUCCAGUGUUUUCCAGAUUUUCUAUAAUAAGCAUGAUUACUUUUCUAAAUAAGGAAAGUAGCUAUUUAAAAGUUAUAUUAAGGUGCUAUUGUGUGUAUCAGAUGGUGGCCUAAGAAGUGAAAAAGGGGAGGUUUGCAUGUAGAUAAGUUUUGCAACCUCUGAGGCUCCUUAAACAUUUUUGAAUUGCUGUAGCCUAGGCUUGUUUUGUAAAAAGUGCUUGUUGCUGAAAAUGAUGAUUUGUUUGGAUAAACCCCCUCCUCAUUUUUUGGGUGGUGGGGGAGCUUUUUAUUGCAUAGUCACAAUGGGAGGCAUUGUUCACACAGACCAGCAUCGUCAUACUUCUAUUCUUGUCACUGACAGUAUUAUUUGCAACUGCUUUUUUUCCAGCCUCUUCUAAUUUCCACACUACCACUUAUUGUAUUUCAUUAAAGCUGGGUUAGAAAUGCAAGGCAUAUAAUUAGAUUGAGAACUAUGCUAUCGAUUUGGUUUUCCAUUAUGAUGUUAUCACAUGCACAAAAAAGUCAUUUGGUACAAUUGUUAUGAUUAAAACUACAAAAGAGAUCUAUUACAUCAGACUUAGUUUUCAGUGCCUGAUGCAGUGUAAAAUAAGAGUGAGAGGGGUUGAUCUGUUUAUAUUAGAGCUGCAUAUGCCAUGUAACCAUAAAUGUCUGUAGGCUAAUAAUUUCAAAGGAACCUUUAGUAGAUGAGAGGUUUUUUAGAAAUUCAUAUUAAAUAAAAGUCAAUCAAUACUUCAAUACUCAAUUUCUAAGGUGGUGGUGGAUGAUAAUCCUUUUCCAGCUCUGCACUAUGCAAAGACUCAUGCUCCACAUUUGCAGCUUUCUAUUGCAGGGAGGCUAGGAGGGGCAAAGAUGGAUUUUGGCAUUAGACAGAAGUGGGGUCAAGUCACAGUUCCAUUGCUGCUUAGGAGAAGGCAGGAUCAUUAUUUAAUUCAUAUCUACCAUGAGCCGGGCUUAAUAGACAUUAUCUCUGUCAAUUCCUACAAAGCUGUGAGGUUACUGGUUCAAGUUCAUGUAGCUAGUAAUUGAUACGAUUUUAGUUCCCUUCAUCCCUAAAUGUCCAUGUACUCUCUGCAGUAAUAUUCUCUUUCUCUUUUGUUGAAUAAUGUUGGAUAAGUUACUUAAUGUUUCUGAGUCUUAGUUUUCUCAUCUGAUAAACAAGAACAAUAACGUCCCUUCGUAAAGAUGGUUUUGAUUAUUAAAUGAAUUAACAUCUCUGUAAAACUGAGCAUUGUGCUUGGCACAUAAUAAGUACCCAGUAAACACACUUAUCUUUCUCUGCUUCUCAGUAAGUUCCCCCACAAUCCCAGGGGUAACCUUGGAGUUAUACUGGGUUAGAGGAAUGACACUGAUUUUCCUCAUCUCUGCAAAUGUAGGUAAUGAAAAGGUUAAAAAAAAACAAGAUCACUGAUGUAGAAAGACCUUGUUUAAUAGAAUAAUAUGGGAACUAACUACAAAGCUUAUCUUAUAGCUAUGCUUAAGUUGGUUUUGAUAAUCUACAAAAUUGAUUUAAAAGUAUUUAUUAAGCACCUAGUGCAUCACAGACAUGGGGGCUGGACAGAUUCUCAUGUACAUGCUGUUUAAUUUUUUUCCAACCACUUUCUGGGGGACAUAGUUGAAGAAACUGGGACCCAGAGAAGGUGGAAUAAUUUGAGCAGUGACUUGGAGAAUGAUUACAGUUUCCACAAACAGAAAUAAAGGUAUGUACAGGGAUCUUACAUAAAGUGAUAUUGGGCUACAUUUGAUCUUUCUAGUUGUUUUGAGUAAAACAGUCAAUUAGUCAGUUAAGUGGUGACUUAACUGCAAUGUCUAGAGUAGGAGCUAGGUAUGGCUGAACCCAAAAAAGGCUCAAAUCAGAGUUAUUGGAUGGCUCAUUCCUGUGACUUCUCUGCUUUGUUUCUGGUUGUCCCCAUUUUCAGGAAAGUUGACUUAUACCCCCAUUUUCUCAGAAACAUCAACAUAAGGAUAGUACCCCUUUUCUAGUCAAUUCAUGAAAUUUCCCAAGACAUUCUCUGAUUAGACUUAGUUGAAUUAUGUGCUCAUCCUGGAUCUACUGCUGAAGCUAGGGUGAUAGAAUACACUGAUGGGUCAGGCUUGGGUCACAUGCCUAGCCUGGAUUUGGGAGCAGAAUCCACUUGAACAGAAUUCAUGGAUGGAGAGUUGGGAGGGGUGGUGUAGCAGAUACUCUCAGUGUUCUGCCCAUACUUCCUAGGAUCUCAGCAACAUUUCCCUAUAUCUUUUUGUCAGGCAGCUGCCCUCAGGUUGUCAGAACCUGCUUUGCCUGUGCCCAUGGAGAGCAGAGAAUUUAUGUGUCCCUAAAGGCGGCCCUUAGGAGUGGUAAGGGUGGGGUAUGAAUACUCUAGCUCCUUUCUCUUGGUGGAAACAUCUCUCUCAGGUGUGUUCUAUACUGUUUCUAGAGCUUCUCUGUGGAAUUGAGCUAAAGUCAUCUACUUGGGUUUAUGAUACUAAAUAUUUUCUAGUUGCACUUAACCACACCCUUACCGGUUUUCUUGGGAAUAAUUCUAAAUAAAUCACUUUCCCAUGAGUCCUUGUUACAGGGUCUGCUUCUGGGGAACCUAAUCUGAGAGAUUUCUCCAAGGAAAAGUUGGGUACCUUAAUUAGUCAGUUAUUGCUGCACUAGAGCUAAAUAAAAGACAUAAAUAUCUAAGGCACUUACUGGAAUAAACAUCUUAUUUCCGCUAAGAGGUUGGCUAGGGAAGCUCUGCUUCAGAGUAUGGGUUGAGUAUAAGCCUGUUCCACAUGUCUUUUGCUCUGGGACCAGGCGUUGUGCAGCCCAUCCUUUUCUCAAGACAAAAGCCAAGCCAAGCAAGGACAUUUAAAGCUUCACUUCUGCUCACAUCAUAUCUAUUGGCCAAACAUUCCAUUGGCCAAAGCAAAUCACAUGGCCAAGUCAAGCAUCAGUAGUCUGGGGAAUAUUCUUCCUCUACUCUAGACACAUGGAAAAGGUUAUGCAUACUAAUUCUAUAUCAGGAGAGAAUGAGGAAUUGGGAACUGUAACCCAAUCCGCAACAUUUCAAUUGGAAGAAAUUACUCCGCAGGCAAGAAAUAUUUUUCCUCCAGGAGAUACUCUGCAGGCAUAACCAGCAGAUGUCUACCCUGAUUUACAGUAAGUCAUGUGUGAUAGGCUGAGUAAUGGCUCACAAAGAUGAUCGUGUUGUAAUUCCCAGAACCUGUGGAUAUGUACCUUGUGUGGCAAAAGGAACUGCACGGAUGCCAUUAAAAUAUGGAUCUUGAGAUGGGGAGAUUUUCCUGGAUUAUAGGUUGGCACAAUGUAAUUAUAAGCGUCCUUAUAAGAUGAAGGCAGGAAGUCAGAAAGGAGAGAAGAUGUUGCUCUGAUGGCUUUGAAGUUGAAGGAAGAGGCCAUGACCCAAGGAAUGGUGGCAGCUUCUAGAAAGUAGCUAAGGCAAGGAAUGGAUUAUUUCCUGGAGCCUCUAAAAGGAACCAGUCCUGGCAACACCUUAAUUUUAGUCCCAUAAGACUCCUCACAGACUUUUGACUUCCAGAACUAGAAGAGAAUAAAUGUGUGUUAGUUCAAGCCACUAAGUUUAUGGUAAUAUUGGCUGGCAAUAGGAAACUAAUACACCACGUGGUUUACAUAUUUUAAAAUACUUUAAUCCUGUAAAGUAGACAUUAUUUUUACCAUUUUAAGGCUGAAUAACUUGAAGUUCCAAUACAUGAAAUGAUUGGCCCAAGGCCAUAUAGGUGACAAGUAUCAGAGUUAGCAUUCAAAUGCAGGUCAAACUUCAAUAUUAAUGCCGUUGCCAUUGAAACACUAUUUUAGCUUCUGUUUUCUGCUAGUGAGUAAAUUAAGGAAUGAACUCAGAGAACUCUAGACCAUUCUUAAUUCAGCAGGAGAUGGGGGCAAAUGAAACUUCUUCAACAAUUGCCCUGGUCUUUGUGGUAGAGACUAUAUAAGUCUUUCCUCAAGUUUGUGACACAUACAGCGAUGAGCUCUUUGGGAAUGAAGAGAAGGUGCCUCUGAGUAUGGUGUUAUGGCCUGAAUUAAGUCUUCUCAAAAUUUAUAUGGUGAAGCUCUAACUCCCAACCUGACUGUAUUUGGAGAUAGAGCACCUAAAGAGGUAAUUAAGGUAAAAUGUUGUUAUAAGGGAAGGGCCCUAAUUGAAUAGAACUGGUGUCAUUAUAAGAAGAGGAAGACAUGAGGCAUGGGCGUGCACAGAGGUAAGAUCAUGCAAAGAGGCAGCAAGAGAGUGACCAUCUGCCACCCAAUGAGAGAAGCCUCAGAAGAAACCAAACCUGCAGGGACUUUGGUCUUGGACUUCCAGCCUCCAAAACAGUGAGAAAUAAAUUUCUGUCGUUUAAGCCACCCAGUCUGUAGUAUUUUGUUAUGGCAGCCCAAGCAGACUAAAUACGGAUGACAUCUGACCUCUUUUGCCUUUCUGGAAGCUUCAAAUCAUAUUAGGUUUGUUCUUAAAGUUUUAAUAAUUCAUGCCUUUUACAAUGGUAAACAUUUGUACUUCAUUUAAAGAAGACAGCUGUGUAGAUUAAUUCAAAUUGAUGUGAUUCGAGAGCAGGCUAUCUUUUCAUACCGUAAAGAAGAGUGAGAGAAGAAAAGGUCUCAAAAAUGUGUAGGCAAGUAGGGAAGUGUGCUGUAGAGAAAGUAUCAGGUUUUUUGUUUUGUUUUAAUACCCCUGACACUGAAUGGGUAUCAUAAAGUUGUUCUUUUCACAUUAGUAUGAGCAGCGGCAGGGCCGCAGUCGACAUCCUGAGGGUCUUGGGAGAAAAAAAUGUGUGGAGAGUAAUUUAACCAGAAAGAGGCUACCGCAUUCUCAAAAAGACAUUAAAGAAAUUGCAAACAGGCAAGUAUAAAAUAUUUAUUGCACUCCAACUCUGGGCCAUGCAAGGUGUGGAGUCAUCUAUUGAGUUACUAUUUAUAGAGUUUUUAUUAAUGAGUUGUAAUAGUUUAUUAAUUAGGGCAAUUCUAGUUGCAGUAACAAACAAAUGCCAAUACAUUAGUAGAUAAGCUUAGGAGAAACUUGUCUCUCGAUCUGAAUAUAGUCCAAGGAAGCAUUCCUGUAGGUGGUAGGAUUUUUUUCCAUGUGGUGAUUUGGCGAUCAGGGCUCCAAUUUUUUGCUCAAUGAUUCUUGAGGAACCUUCUCUAGAACAAAGAGAAAAGGGGGGAAAUGGCACACUGGCUGCCAUUUUCAUAAGUGAUGCUCUGUACUUCUUGCAUUUCAUUGCUGAGAACUGGUCACAUAUCUUUAAAAAUUCAUGUUUUUUUUUUUAACUAUGUGGAGUUGUCUUUGGAAAGCAGCUGUCCAGGCAGGUACUACAAAAUCCCCUCUUGUGUAACGCAGAAACCAUAUUACAAGUACUCACUAACAACAAGUGAAUGAAAGUGAUGUACGUCACACCUGAGCCAAAAUGGUUAAAAGUGGGUAUAGUUUUUUACCCUCUUAUUUGCUUACAGCGGAAGGCCCUGGGACAUGGAAGAACCCCUAAAUAAAGGAACCUGGGGUUCUGAAUGACUGUAUAGAAUGCUUCCUUCCUCAUUUAUCAAGACUACCUGCAUUUUACUGCAGGUGAACUGGAAUAAACUUUUAUUGUGUUUGUCAACAAAAUGUUGGAAUGGCCUUGCUACAGUGGCUAAGAUCGCUCAAACAAAUAUUCAUGGCCUCAUCUGAAAGCAAGAGAUGAUGGUAAAUAUGAUCUCAGGUUGGCCAACCACUUCUCAUUGAAAGCUGUUUCAAUACUUUGGAAACAGGAGUGCAGCUUUUAGGUGCUCAGUUAGCUGACUCUACACAAACACCUUUCACAGUGCCUGACUUUACUGAAUGAAUAAAUGAAUGGCCCACAUUUAAGUGGAUGCCCUCCUCUGGGAAGCUCUGUGCACGUUGAUGUAGCUAUUAAAAAUUGACUACAGGACUUUUUACAAACAUGUUAAGCUAUUUAUAUACGUUAUUUUAUUAAUACUGGUGAUAAUCCAGUUAAUUAAAUUUCAUUUUAUUGCAUUCAUUUAUUUUUAAAAUUGUGUCUUCCUUUUUGAACUGUGAGAUUUUUGUUGUCACGAUUGGUGCCCUUGGUUGCCGGUGCAGUGCAUAGCACAUGGCAAAGACUCAGUGUCUGUUGAAUGAAUACAUGCUUGGGCAGAUGGAUGGACAGAUACAGGAUAGACAUGAGGCCAACUGUGUGUGAUAUAGGGUCUAAAUGCCAGGACCGAGGGGCAAAAAAGAGUAAAAGAAAAAUAAAUAGGCAUUUUCACUAGGUGAGGAGUGGGUGCUGGAUGGUAAACUGGCCUCAGGCAUUGGGAGAAAGUCCAGUCAAUAACUUCAAGCACAAAUCAGAAAUAUGUGGUUUGGGGCAACAGUCUAAGCAAGGGAUGAGUAGGUCUUCAGAGCUGAGGGAUCUGGGAGUUGUCUUCAGGUCCUUCAGGCAAAUACUCAUGAGUCUGCUAGGCUAGACAUUUCUGGCCUAAAAAGGUGCUGAUUUAGUAAAAAGUCAUGUAUCUAAAAUGUUUGGUUAUCUAAGAUUGAAGAGUAAUCAGACAUUUCUGGCUAAUGUCAGCACUUUAUAUUUUUCAAACAUCAGAUGUAUGAUUUAAAGUAAUCAUGCUCCUCAGUCUAGUUCACUCUCAUCAUCAGUCUUCGUAGGUGCCCUUUAGGUUUUGCUAUAUUUUACUACUUGCUCUUUUUGUUCUUUCUCUCCACCUUUACCAUCUCUUCCCCCUCCUCAAUUACCACCACAAUGGUAUAUUUGAUAUGUGCCCUCUAAACCACCUGUCACAGAAGAGGUGGUAGAGCACGCUGUUUAAGAAUGCAGGUUUAGGAGACCAGGCUCAACUCCUCACCCUGCCAGACUGCAUUGUGUGACCUGAGGCAAGCUGUUUAGCUUCUCUGUACCUCAGUUUCUUAAUCUGUGUAUGAUUAUUCACUGAAUUAAAUAGAUUAAUAUAUAUAUAUAUAUAUAUAUAGUAUAAAAUUGAUUAGUACCUGGGGCAUAGAGUGCUUGUAAACCAUU
rnacentral:lncRNA from 10 species